rnacentral:rRNA from 1 species
AUUGAACGCUGGCGGCAGGCCUAACACAUGCAAGUCGAGCGAGCGGCGGACGUGAGAGAAGUGUGUGGGGCUGUGCCCGAGAGAGGGGGAUAAAUACUGGAAACGAUGGAUAAUAGCGCAUACUAACGGAUGCACCCAUAUGGGAUUAGCUAGUGGGUGGGGUAACGGCUCACCUAGGCGACGAUCUCUAGCUGGUCUGAGAGGAUGAACAGCCACACUGGAACUGAGACACGGCCCAGACUCCUACGGGAGGCAGCAGUGGGGAAUAUUGCACAAUGGGCGCAAGCCUGAUGCAGCCAUGCCGCGUGUGUGAAGAAGGCCUUAGGGUUGUAAAGUACUUUCAGCGGGGAGGCGUUACCCGCAGAAGAAGCACCGGCUAACUCCGUGCCAGCAGCCGCGGUAAUUC